rnacentral:rRNA from 1 species
CCUACGGGUGGCAGCAGUGGGGAAUAUUGGACAAUGGGCGAAAGCCUGAUCCAGCCAUGCCGCGUGUGUGAAGAAGGCCUUCGGGUUGUAAAGCACUUUCAGUGGGGAAGAAAGCCUUGGGGCUAAUACCCUCGAGGAAGGACAUCACCCACAGAAGAAGCACCGGCUAACUCCGUGCCAGCAGCCGCGGUAAUACGGAGGGUGCGAGCGUUAAUCGGAAUUACUGGGCGUAAAGCGCGCGUAGGCGGUCUGAUAAGCCGGUUGUGAAAGCCCCGGGCUCAACCUGGGAACGGCAUCCGGAACUGUCAGGCUAGAGUGCAGGAGAGGAAGGUAGAAUUCCCGGUGUAGCGGUGAAAUGCGUAGAUAUCGGGAGGAAUACCAGUGGCGAAGGCGGCCUUCUGGACUGACACUGACGCUGAGGUGCGAAAGCGUGGGUAGCAAACAGGAUUAGAUACCCUUGUAGUC